rnacentral:rRNA from 1 species
AACGAACGCUGGCGGCAUGCCUAACACAUGCAAGUCGAACGAGACCUUCGGGUCUAGUGGCGCACGGGUGCGUAACGCGCGGGAACCUGCCCUUAGGUUCGGAAUAACUCCCCGAAAGGGGUGCUAAUACCGGAUAAUGUCUUCGGACCAAAGAUUUAUCGCCUUUGGAUGGGCCCGCGUUGGAUUAGCUAGUUGGUAGGGUAAAAGCCUACCAAGGCGACGAUCCAUAGCUGGUCUGAGAGGAUGAUCAGCCACACUGGGACUGAGACACGGCCCAGACUCCUACGGGAGGCAGCAGUGGGGAAUAUUGGACAAUGGGCGAAAGCCUGAUCCAGCAAGGCCGCGUGAGUGAUGAAGGCCUUAGGGUUGUAAAGCUCUUUUACCCGGGAUGAUAAUGACAGUACCGGGAGAAUAAGCUCCGGCUAACUCCGU